AAGGUUUCCGUAGGUGAACCUGCGGAAGGAUCAUUAGUGAAUAAACUUGUGUGAGUUGUUGCUGGUCACCUCGGUGGCAUGUGCACACUUGCCGUCGUUUCAUUCCUUCCCUUCCACCUGUGCAUUCAUUGUAGACCACACUACUGUCUUUCAGGUCUGUGCCCUCCCGCACUUUCCUGGUGUGAGGACCUGCCUCUUCCCGGGCUGUUCUUGGGUUGUGUUGGCCUAUGUUCUCAUCCACCCUAUUGUAUGUUACUGAGUGUAUGACCUGGGUCCAUUGUACCCAUAAAAUCUAUACAACUUUCAACAACGGAUCUCUUGGCUCUCGCAUCGAUGAAGAACGCAGCGAAAUGCGAUAAGUAAUGUGAAUUGCAGAAUUCAGUGAAUCAUCGAAUCUUUGAACGCACCUUGCGCUCCUUGGCAUUCCGAGGAGCAUGCCUGUUUGAGUGUCAUUAAAUCCUCAACCUCAUCAUUCUUAUGGAUGCAGUGGGGUUGGAUCUGGAAGUCUGCUGGCCCCCUCUGGUCAGCUCUUCUGAAAUGCAUUAGCAGAGUCCAAUUGUACGCGAGGCUGCGGCUUGGUAUUGAUAGCUGUCUUACCAGGUAGUUGCCAAGCUUAGUGCUCAGCUUCAAGUUGGUCUCGUCAUUGAGACAGUUCAUCUGACGAUUUGACCUCAAAUCAGGUAGGACUACCCGCU
rnacentral:rRNA from 1 species